CGGUACUUGAUGAAUAAGCCACGGCUAAUUCCGUGCCAGCAGCCGCGGUAAUACGGGAGUGGCAAGCGUUAUCCGGAAUUAUUGGGCGUAAAGCGUCCGCAGGCGGCCCAACAAGUCUGCUGUUAAAAAGUGGAGCUUAACUCCAUCAUGGCAGUGGAAACUGUUGGGCUCGAGUGUGGUAGGGGCAGAGGGAAUUCCCGGUGUAGCGGUGAAAUGCGUAGAUAUCGGGAAGAACACCAGUGGCGAAGGCGCUCUGCUGGGCCAUCACUGACGCUCAUGGACGAAAGCCAGGGGAGCGAAAGGGAUUAGAUACCCCUGUAGUCCUGGCCGUAAACGAUGAACACUAGGUGUCGGGGGAAUCGACCCCUCCGGUGUCGUAGCCAACGCGUUAAGUGUUCCGCCUGGGGAGUACGCACGCAAGUGUGAAACUCAAAGGAAUUGACGGGGGCCCGCACAAGCGGUGGAGUAUGUGGUUUAAUUCGAUGCAACGCGAAGAACCUUACCAGGGUUUGACAUCCUGCGAAUCUCUUGGAAACUUGAGAGUGCCUUCGGGAGCGCAGUGACAGGUGGUGCAUGGCUGUCGUCAGCUCGUGUCGUGAGAUGUUGGGUUAAGUCCCGCAACGAGCGCAACCCACGUCUUUAGUUGCCAGCAUUUAGUUGGGCACUCUAGAGAGACCGCCGGUGAUAAACCGGAGGAAGGUGUGGAUGACGUCAAGUCAUCAUGCCCCUUACAUCCUGGGCUACACACGUACUACAAUGCUACGGACAAAGGGCAGCAAGUUCGCGAGGACAAGCAAAUCCCAUAAACCGUGGCUCAGUUCAGAUCGUAGGCUGCAACUCGCCUACGUGAAGGAGGAAUCGCUAGUAAUCGCAGGUCAGCAUACUGCGGUGAAUACGUUCCCGGGCCUUGUACACACCGCCCGUCACACCAUGGAAGUUGGCCACGCCCGAAGCCGUUACUCCAACCCUUGUGGAGGAGGACGUCGAAGGUGGGGCUGAUGACUGGGGUG
rnacentral:rRNA from 1 species